rnacentral:rRNA from 1 species
GAUGAACGCUAGCGGCAGGCUUAAUACAUGCAAGUCAAGGGGGUAGCAAUACAACCGGCGCACGGGUGAGUAACACGUACACAACAUACCAUAUACUGAGGUAUAGCUUCGGGAAACUGAAGGUAAUCCCUCAUAGUAUUGUGAAAGGGCAUCUUUUUACAAUUAAAGUUUCGACGGUAUAUGAUUGGUGUGCGUUUGAUUAGCUAGUUGGUAGGGUAACGGCCUACCAAGGCAACGAUCAAUAGCUGGCGUGAGAGCGCGACCAGCCACACUGGAACUGAGACACGGUCCAGACUCCUACGGGAGGCAGCAGUAGGGAAUAUUGGACAAUGGGCGAAAGCCUGAUCCAGCCAUGCCGCGUGAUAGAUGAAGGCCCUCUGGGUUGUAAAUAUCUUUUAUCUGGGAAGAAACACUUCUAUUCUUAGAAGCUUGACGGUACCAGAGGAAUAAGCACCGGCUAACUCCGUGCCAGCAGCCGCGGUAAUGUCGAUA